rnacentral:rRNA from 1 species
AGAGUUUGAUCAUGGCUCAGGAUGAACGCUAGCUACAGGCUUAACACAUGCAAGUCGAGGGGAAACGACAUCGAAAGCUUGCUUUUGAUGGGCGUCGACCGGCGCACGGGUGAGUAACGCGUAUCCAACCUGCCCAUCACUUGGGGAUAACCUUGCGAAAGUAAGACUAAUACCCAAUGAUAUCUCUAGAAGGCAUCUGAAAGAGAUUAAAGAUUUAUCGGUGAAGGAUGGGCAUGCGUGAUAUUAGGUAGUUGGCGGGGCAACGGCCCACCAAGCCCACGAUAUCUAGGGGUUCUGAGAGGAAGGUCCCCCACAUUGGUACUGAGACACGGACCAAACUCCUACGGGAGCA